rnacentral:lncRNA from 1 species
AUGCAGUUCACUUGUGUUUAUUUUUGCAGAAAAGCAAUUUAUCCAGCCACUCUGGAAAAAAAAAAUGGCCUGUCAGGAGCCUCCUUUGGAGCAGAGUGUUUUUCCUCAAAAGAAACUCAAAUUGUUCUCAAUGUAGGGCAGGCUUUGGGUGUGUCUCCUCGAACAUGUACAGGGGUCUGUCCCGUGUGCGGGAGAGCAUUGGGGUGUCUGGCGUGGGCCCUGGCUUUGUCUCUAGAAUGUGGAUGGUGCAUCUUUGGGCCUCUGUCCUUCCCUGCCUGCGUGGGUUUGAGAUACUCUUACAAAAGGAAUGUGUGCGGGUUCCGGCCCAGCGGAGCAGGCCCUGGCCUGAUCGGGAGCUGCGAAGCACCCAGCCAGCAAAGGCUGCCUUUGGAACAGGGAGUUUGGCCGGCCAGAGACAAGCCAUUCCAGAGACAGACGAUCACACAAACUGGUGCCCACACACGCUGGGGUAUACAGCCCUCCUCUGGCAGCUCGGCCUGUGCUUUCCAGGGCUCUAGCUGUCUUCUGGGCCCACCAGGGAACCCAAGCUUCCGACUCUCCUGGGUGCGGCUGCACUCAAACUGCUGGAGCUCCGGCAAGAUGCAUCAUUUGGCUGGUUGCAGUCCUCUUCAGAGCACUCUGAGCUGUGCAUCCUCCUGGCACUUUUGA